GCAGGGUUCAACCUAGCGUUGAUUUUCUCGCGUACUGCGUAGACGUUCAAAUUUCGAUUGCGUAUACUAAUCUGCAUCGCCUGUAGUUGUUUAAGCUUGGCGAGUGAAUAUGAAUUGCGUAUUUCGCAGGUUGAGCGAGUCUAUGCAGGGCAGCGGGCGGGACAGAUCUGACUUCAACUGCUUGCAGCUCGUGAAGAAACCGCCGCGCAUGUGGAAUAUCACAGUAUUCGGGAGGAAAAGCUCCGGGCGGAUGUCCGAAAGCGUGUUGCCGAGGAAAACCAAGCCGGAGAGGUGGAUUCCCCAGGUGAUUUGAAUUUCUGAUGAUUGCCAUAUCCUCAGGACAAAACCUAGGCAGGCAUUGUUAAUAUAUGUAUUCCGGCAAAAACAUUGGGAAAUAUUUGAUAAGAUAAUACAUAAAAUUAAAAUACUGAUGAGUAAUAAACAAUUAUUGAGUGAAUAACAACCAAAUUA